rnacentral:rRNA from 1 species
CCACACCCUAAAAACUUUUCCACGUGAACCGUUAUAACUAUGUUCUGUGCUUCGUCGCAAGACUUGAGGCUGAACGAAGGUGAGUCUGCGUCUAUUUUGGAUGCGGAUUUGCUGAUGUUAUUUUAAACACCUAUUACUUAAUACUGAACUAUACUCCGAAUACGAAAGUUUUUGGUUUUAACAAUUAACAACUUUCAGCAGUGGAUGUCUAGGCUCGCACAUCGAUGAAGAACGCUGCGAACUGCGAUACGUAAUGCGAAUUGCAGAAUUCAGUGAGUCAUCGAAAUUUUGAACGCAUAUUGCACUUUCGGGUUAUGCCUGGAAGUAUGCCUGUAUCAGUGUCCGUACAUCAAACUUGCCUUUCUUUUUUUGUGUAGUCAAAAUUAGAGAUGGCAGAAUGUGAGGUGUCUCGCGCUGUCUUUUUAAAGAUGGUUCGAGUCCCUUUAAAUGUACGUUGAUUCUUUCUUGUGUCUGCGAAUUGCGAUGCUAUGCUCUUUGUGAUCGGUUUAGAUUGCUUUGCGCUGGUGGGCGACUUCGGUUAGGACAUAUGGAAGCAACCUCAAUUGGCGGUAUGUUCGGCUUUGCCUGACGUUAAGCUAAGCGAGUGUAGUUUUCUGUCUUUUCCUUGAGGUGUACCUGUCGUGUGUGAGGUUGAUUUAGGCUAUAUGGUUGCUUGGUUGUGUGGUUUAGCGUUUUCAGACGCCUGCUUCGGUAGGUAAAGGAGACAACACCAAUUUGGGACUGAGAGUUUACUCUCUUUUUCACUUUGGACCUGAUAUCAGGUAAGACUACCCGCUGACUUAAG